rnacentral:tRNA from 1 species
GGGUGAUUAGCUCAGCCGGGAGAGUAUCUGCCUUAUAAGCAGAGGGUCGGCGGUUCGAUCCCGUCAUCACCCA